rnacentral:rRNA from 1 species
AUGAACGCUAGCGACAGGCCUAACACAUGCAAGUCGAGGGCAGCACAAGGAGCAAUCUGAGGUGGCGACCGGCGCACGGGUGAGUAACACGUAUGCAACCUGCCUGUAAGCGGGGAAUAACCCGUUGAAAGACGGACUAAUACCGCAUAAUACUAAAUUACUGCAUGGUAAUUUAUUUAAACAUUUAUGGCUUACAGAUGGGCAUGCGCAUGAUUAGCUAGUUGGAGAGGUAACGGCUCCCCAAGGCAACGAUCAUUAGGGGUUCUGAGAGGAAGGUCCCCCACACUGGUACUGAGACACGGACCAGACUCCUACGGGAGGCAGCAGUGAGGAAUAUUGGUCAAUGGACGAGAGUCUGAACCAGCCAAGUCGCGUGCAGGAAGAAUGUCCUAAUGGAUUGUAAACUGCUUUUGCAGGGGAAUAAAGUGCAUCACGUGUGAUGUUUUGUAUGUACUCUGCGAAUAAGGAUCGGCUAACUCCGUGCCAGCCGCAGC